rnacentral:lncRNA from 1 species
ACAGCAGCCAACCAUUCCCUGAGUCUCUCCUGGACUUCUUUCGGCCAUGGAUGACCCUACUCCGAACUUCUUCCGGGCUUCGUCAGCAUCCGAGCUUCCCCGACAAUGAGAUUUCUACAGUAACCAGACUCCACCCAAGUUUCUACGAUGAUCGACCGCCUCCCGGAUCCUAAUCGAGCUCCUACGAGAGUCGAACUUCUUCUACGAAUGAUCUACUCCAAACUCCUACAGCGAGCUGUCUACCCCA